rnacentral:rRNA from 1 species
CGUGGAGACAGGUGGUGCAUGGCUGUCGUCAGCUCGUGUCGUGAGAUGUUGGGUUAAGUCCCGCAACGAGCGCAACCCUCACCUCUUGUUGCCAUCAGGUCAUGCUGGGCACUCUAGAGGAACUGCCCCGGUCAACGGGGAGGAAGGCGGGGAUGACGUCAAGUCAUCAUGCCCCUUACGUCCUGGGCUACACACGUGCUACAAUGGCCGGUACAAAGGGAUGCCACACCGCGAGGUAGAGCUAAACCCAAAAAGCCGGUCUAAGUUCAGAUUGGAGUCUGCAGCUCGACUCCAUGAAGGAGGAAUCGCUAGUAAUCGCGUAUCAGCACGACGCGGUGAAUACGUUCCCGGGCCUUGUACACACCGCCCGUCACACCACGAAAGCCUGCUGUACUCGAAGUCGCUGAG